ensembl:misc_RNA Metazoa_SRP Metazoan signal recognition particle RNA
GCUGGGCAUUGUGGCUGGUGCCUGUCAUCCCAGCUCCUAGGGAGGCUGAGGCCAGCGAAUCGCUUGAGCUCAGGAGUUGUGGGCUACAGUGGGCUGUGCUGAUCGGGUGUCCACACUAAGUUUGGCAUCAAUACGGUGAUCCCUGGGGAGCUUGGGGUCCCCAGGCUGCCUAAGGAGGGGUGAACCAGCCCAGAUCGGAAACGGAGCAGGUCAAAACUCCCGUGCCGAUCAGUAGUGGGAUCGUGCCUGUGAAUAGCCUCUGCAGCGUAGCCUGGGCAAAAUGGUGAGACACGGUCUCUU